rnacentral:rRNA from 1 species
UACGUAGGGGGCAAGCGUUGUCCGGAUUUAUUGGGCGUAAAGAGCGUGUAGGCGGCCUGGUAGGUCAGCUGUGAAAACUCGAGGCUCAACCUCGAGCUGUCGGCGGAAACCAUCUGGCUAGAGUCCGGAAGAGGAGAGUGGAAUUCCUGGUGUAGCGGUGAAAUGCGCAGAUAUCAGGAAGAACACCGGUGGCGAAGGCGGCCUUCUGGACGAUGACUGACGCUGAGACGCGAAAGCGUGGGGAGCAAACAGG